rnacentral:rRNA from 1 species
UGAGGAAUAUUGGACAAUGGGCGCAAGCCUGAUCCAGCCAUGCCGCGUGCAGGAAGAAGCAUCUAUGGUGUGUAAACUGCUUUUGUACGGGAAGAAACACUCCUACGUGUAGGAGCUUGACGGUACCGUAAGAAUAAGGAUCGGCUAACUCCGUGCCAGCAGCCGCGGUAAUACGGAGGAUCCAAGCGUUGUCCGGAUUUAUUGGGUUUAAAGGGUGCGUAGGCGGUUUUAUAAGUCAGUGGUGAAAGCCCAUCGCUCAACGAUGGAACGGCCAUUGAUACUGCUAGACUUGAAUUAUUAGGAAGUAACUAGAAUAUGUAGUGUAGCGGUGAAAUGCUUAGAUAUUACAUGGAAUACCAAUUGCGAAGGCAGGUUACUACUAAUGGAUUGACGCUGAUGGACGAAAGCGUGGGGAGCGAACA